rnacentral:lncRNA from 1 species
GUAACGACCCGAAAAUCGGACCGCUACCGGCGCUAGGAUCCGGGUCGACUUAAGGCCGCCGGGACCCGUAGCAAGCCCAACAUACAUCCUGUGAACCUGAUUAAUCCCAUACAUGAUCAACAACAUACAUAAAAAUUAAAACUUUUCCUUUUCAACAUACACCAAACUCAACCUGUGCAUGCACUAUACAUAAACAUAACUUAAACAUUAAUCCCUCUGUGGGAUCUCAUCAAAGCCCCCAAUGGGUG